GUAUAGGUAAAGCUACUAAGAGCAAACGAUGGAUGCCUUGGUACCAGGAGACGAAGAAGGACGCAAUAAUCUGCGAUAAGCUGCGGGGAGCCGAUAAUACGCCUUGAUCCGCAGAUCUCCGAAUGGGGAAACCCUCCAGUGGUAAUGCACUGGAAUUUAUAUCUGAAUACAUAGGAUAUAAAAGUAAAGCCUGUGAACUGAAACAUCUUAGUAACAGGACGAAAAGAAAACAAACAAGUGAUUACCCUAGUAGCGGCGAGCGAACGGGUAACAGCCUAAACCUUCUGCAUGUGAUAGCUUGCAGGCGUUAUG
rnacentral:rRNA from 1 species